rnacentral:lncRNA from 1 species
GAUACGUCUCAAACGUAUCUAUAAUUUUUGAUGGUUUCACGAUGUUAUCUUGUCUUCUUUGGUUGUUUUAUGUACCUUUUAUAUCUUUUUUGGGACUAACUUAUUAAUUCAGUGCCAAGUGCUAGUUCCUGUUUUUUCCGUGUUUUUGACUCUUUUUAGAUCUGAUUUUGGAACGGAUUCCAAAUGGAAGAAAAACCCCGAAAUGAUUUUU